GUUGAAAUAGAGCUCUGUUUAAUUUACAUGGCCGUUUCCGGCCCGUACUUGCCUAGAAGUAGAAAACUGGAUCGGUCGCAACAUACAGGAUUGUUCUUUUUUGGUACCUUUCGACCUGAUUUUUGCGAAGACACGCGCCACUCAAACGGUUAAUCCAUACCAAGCGAGACCAGUUGGUGAGACACCCCAACGGUUUCACCUUUAACUAAAAAUGUUUUAACAUUUCCCCAGGAAGGUUCAAUUUGCGUACCCUAGCUUAAAGUGCUCGAGCAAAUUGGGCGUGUUGAAACUUGAAAUCGAUCAAAGGUUGAAGAGGCACCGGGGAAUAUAUUUUAUGCAUUAAUUUUCGUUCAGAAAAUUCUGUCUCCAGGGAUUCCCCGAUAAAAGACUCUAAACGAUUAACACUAAAACCACCGGACAGUUGAAAUCAAUCUUCCUCGGAAGUUCUAUUUUAUACAGAACUAGAAGUCUAGAACUAGAAUCUCAAGAAACCUGUUGUUCUAAUUUUGAUAAAAAAAAAUUGGAAACAAGUGACUCUAAUUGCUCGGCAGUUUUGGUGUUAAGGACACCGUUGCUCCUCGAACGACGGGAAAAAAAGGAACGUCUCGCAACCCACCGAGUCGGCCACGGUUAGCGAAGAAAGCUGCCGGAUGCAGGAGAGGCGAGAGACAUCAUUAUCUUAUCUCGAACCAUUUCCUGUCAAC